rfam:Bombyx mori DNA, contig: Bm_scaf10_contig8760, strain: p50T/Dazao, build 2, whole genome shotgun sequence.
UUAACUCCAAUUUGUAUGGAGUUGGAGCGUUUUGCCUACGAUGGUCGCUAGGGGCGCUGUUCCAACUGCGUACAAAUUUGAGUUA